rnacentral:rRNA from 1 species
AUUCCAGCUCCAGUAGCGUAUAUUAAAGUUGUUGCAGUUAAAAAGCUCGUAGUUGGAUUUCUGGUGGAAGUGACCGGUCUGUCCCUAGUGGAUGUGAACUUGUGUCUACUUUUGCCAUCCUUGGGGAGAGCGUGCCUGGCAUUAGGUUGUCGGGUUCGGGAUCCCCAUCCUUUACUGAGAAAAAAUUAGAGUGUUUAAAGCAGGCUUAUGCCAUUGAAUACAUUAGCAUGGAAUAAUAAGAUAGGACUUUGGUGGUCUAUUUUGUUGGUUUGCACACCAAGGUAAUGAUUAAUAGGGAUAGUUGGGGGUAUCCGUAUUUCGUAGUCAGAGGUGAAAUUCUUGGAUUUACGAAAGACGAACUACUGCGAAAGCAUUUACCAAGGAUGUUUUCAUUA